AGCAGCCGCGGUAAUUCCAGCUCCAAUAGCGUAUAUUAAAGUUGUUGCAGUUAAAAAGCUCGUAGUUGAAUUUCGGGAUCAAUACGUCGGUCGUGCUUCGGUACGUACUGGCGUCAUUGGUUCCUACCUUCUGAAGAACCUCGAUGUCAUUAAUUUGGUGUCUUGGGGAAUCAGGACUGUUACUUUGAAAAAUUAGAGUGUUUAAAGCAGGCUCGCGCUUGAAUACAUUAGCAUGGAAUAAUGAAAUAGGACGUUUGAUUCUAUUUUGUUGGUUUCUAGGAUCGACGUAAUGAUUAAUAGGGAUAGUUGGGGGCAUUAGUAUUCAAUUGUCAGAGGUGAAAUUCUUGGAUUUAUUGAAGACUAACUACUGCGAAAGCAUUUGCCAAGGAUGUUUUCAUUAAUCAAGAACGAAAGUUAGGGGAUCGAAGACGAUCAGAUACCGUCGUAGUCUUAACCAUAAACUAUGCCGACUAGGGAUCGGAUGAUGUUAAUUUUUAAUGUACUCA
rnacentral:rRNA from 1 species